UAUAUUGUACAUGCUAAAAGAAGAAUGGGUUUAAAAAUGUCAAGCAAUGCUCUUCUUCUAUCUUUGUUUCUUUUACUUCUUUGUCUCUUUUCUGACAUUGGAGGGAGUAAGACAACUCACCGGAUACUAGGUUAUUGCCUUCUUAUAUCAAUUUCUACUCUUAUUUUAAGCUAACAUAUGAAAGUAAUAUAAAUGAUUAAUAUAUUACAAAUAUUACACAUUUUGCAUGCAUAUUUUUUUUUAAUAUUAAUUCAUUAUCUUAUAAAAAUGACUAAUAUAAAUAAAUAACUAUGGGUUAAGUGAGUACUUUAAAGCACUGCCUGAUUAAUAUAAAAAUAAUAAUAAAUACUGCAUGAUUUUAAUUCCUUUGGUAAACACUUUUUCUGCCUUUUUGGUAUUAAUCAAUUAUUUAUUUAUUUUUGGUGAACCAUUAAUCCAUUAUUUGAAAAAAAAUAUUUGAAUGCGCUAUCCUAUAUAGCUUUUUAUUUAUUAAUAUAUAUAUAUAUAUAGUUUUUUGAAGAAUAUGCAAUAUACGUUAAUUUUAAAAAUGUUUUAACUCAAAUCAUAAUGGGAGAAUUUCCAAAAUACCCUUUUCAAAUACCACUUUUUAAAAAUACCCCGUUUUCAAUAUUUAUUAAAAACCCCAUUAAAAAGUUGAAAUUUAUCCAAACAUGUCUGUAAGCUUAUAAAUAUACACACAAAUGACAUUUGUAUGUAUAUAAAAAUUUAUAUAUCUUUCAUAAAUAACAUAAAAAUAACUUAUAAAAACCUUUUAAAAAUCUUUUAAAAACCUUAUAAACCCUUUUAAAAACCUUUUAACAACCUUAUAAAACUUGUAAAGACGAUUUGAAACCUUUUAAAAUAUUAUAAAAUAUUUGGAUCAAAUCUUCUAGUAGGUGUUAUUAUAUAGAAGUACCUUAUAAACCAUAUAAAACUUUAUAAUUUUUUAUAUUUAAAAAGGGGUAUUUUUGAAAAGUGAUACACCAAAAGGGUUAUUUCUCAAAAAUUCUCAAUCAUAAUCUUAAUAUAUAUUAAGUUUAAUAAAAAAAUUGUGCAAAAAUCGUAGGAGUACUUCUUGUAAAGAUUAGUUUCAUUUAUUCAUAAUUAAUAUUUAAUAAAAAAAUCCGCAUCGAUUCUUAGUAGAAGAGCCACUUAGAGAGGUAGCUGCAUCUCCAUCUUGUUCAUGCGGAGCAGGCCAAGGAAAAUCUCCUCCAAAACAACAUCGAAGUCCAUGCCAUCGUCCACGUCCUUGCCCACCUCCACGUGCACGCUAAACCCUACAAAAGAACUAAUAAGAAGAAGGAAAAAAAAGAGAAUUCUGUUUUGGUUGUGGCAAUUUUUAUUUAUAGUUUCUUUAACAAUAUAACUCUUUAAUAAUUAUUACAGAAGAUAAA
rnacentral:lncRNA from 1 species